rnacentral:rRNA from 1 species
UACGAAGGGAGCUAGCGUUGUUCGGAAUCACUGGGCGUAAAGCGCACGUAGGCGGAUGUGUCAGUCAGGGGUGAAAUCCUGGAGCUCAACUCCAGAACUGCCUUUGAUACUGAAGAUCUUGAGUUCGGGAGAGGUGAGUGGAACUGCGAGUGUAGAGGUGAAAUUCGUAGAUAUUCGCAAGAACACCAGUGGCGAAGGCGGCUCACUGGCCCGAUACUGACGCUGAGGUACGAAAGCGUGGGGAGCAAACAGG